rnacentral:rRNA from 1 species
GGUGAGUAACACGUGGGUAACCUACCUAUAAGACUGGGAUAACUUCGGGAAACCGGAGCUAAUACCGGAUAAUAUUUCGAACCGCAUGGUUCGAUAGUGAAAGAUGGUUUUGCUAUCACUUAUAGAUGGACCUGCGCCGUAUUAGCUAGUUGGUAAGGUAACGGCUUACCAAGGCGACGAUACGUAGCCGACCUGAGAGGGUGAUCGGCCACACUGGAACUGAGACACGGUCCAGACUCCUACGGGAGGCAGCAGCC